rnacentral:rRNA from 1 species
CACGUAGGGGGCAAGCGUUGUCCGGAUUUAUUGGGCGUAAAGAGCUCGUAGGUGGUUCAGUAAGUCAGGUGUGAAACCUCCAGGCUCAACCUGGAGACGCCACUUGAUACUGCUGUGACUGGAGUCCGGUAGGGGAGCGUGGAAUUCCUGGUGUAGCGGUGAAAUGCGCAGAUAUCAGGAGGAACACCAGCGGCGAAGGCGGCGCUCUGGGCCGGUACUGACACUGAGGAGCGAAAGCGUGGGUAGCAAACAGG